UGGCACUAUGAUAGGGCCAACCAGAAAAGAAUUGGCGAAAAGAAGAGACCGAUCAGGGCGUCAGUACAGGAAUUGGAGGGGGAGCACAUCUUGACAACAAGAACAAGCCGACCACUAAUACCGGCACCUAAAGUGAUGACCGGGAUUAUGGGGGGUAAAGCGUCCUUAACCGGCCCAAAGGUUCAUCGGGAAAUCCGCCACAAAACUGGGGGCGUCCGGGGAAAACCACGUGGCUUGGAACCGGAAGGCUCGAGGGGUACUUCCGGGGUAGGAGUGAAAUCCCGUAACCCUGGCCGGACCCCCGAUGGCGAAAGCACCUCGAGAAUAUUGGGGGGGUUUGUGAGGGACGAAGGGUGGGGCCUCGAACGGGAUUACAUCCCCGGCCAGCCCUACCCUGCAAACGAUGCUCGCUAGGC
rnacentral:rRNA from 1 species